AGCGGGACGGUGAACGGAGGAGGGUUGGCGGAGAAAGCACCCAUCUCCCCUCUUGGGGCCUCAAAAGGAGGCCUGUGAUGACCGCGCGCUGUGACCGUCCAACGGGCGCUCUCCCCAUAGGCGACCCGGGCGCGACGCGUGGGAGAAACCAUUACAGUCUUUUUCUUUCUUAAUUUCUUUCUUUUCUAUUCUUUUUUUUUUUUUUUUUUUGUCAAUUAUGGGACAGGAGCAACGGCUCAAUAACGUCAUUUGAGUGCGAUCUUCUGUGUGCAGCGCCUAGGCUGUCACCCAAAGCCCAUCAUUGAAACACAUGUAGUUCUUAAAUCCUUUGCUGGUACUCUUGGCUUUUGUCCCUGCCCUUGCAGUAGCCGCCCUGUCCUGUCUGCGUUUUCAUCUUUCCCUACUGCCUCUUUCUCAAAAAAAAAAAAAAAAAAAAAACAACCACGUUUUGUCUGUUUUCUAAUCUUGGCUUCCGUUUGAAAUCAACUGCAAGCCUUUAAAAAUGUCUGAGUUCCAUCCACCUCCAUAGAUUCGGAAGCAAUUGGUCUUUCGUGAUGUCUGGGCUUCGAGAUUUUUUUUGUGUGCGUUUGUUUUUGUUUUUUCUUUAAUAACCUAGCGAUUCUCACGCACAAUUCACGGAGAAAUUCACUGUUAAAAGCGUCUAUUUUUGUGACCCUGCCUAAACAUCGUUUUGCUGCUUCAUCUCUCGCAGGUGUAACAGAUGCUCAAGCUGAUCCUAAGGCCCAAGGAGACUUUUCAGCACAGCCUCUGACACAGUGGCAUUGGCAACAGCUGCUCUGCUCUCUGAGGACCUGUUGGCAACCUCUGGAAGCACUUUUCCUUGUCAGUGUUUCCUGAGCCUUAUGUGUUGGAGUCUUUCGUAGAUGUAUCAACUGGGACCGGGCUCCACAACUCCAUGGACUGGUUGGACUCUAAACUAUUUCAUGGUCAUUAAGUGAAUCUGUCCCUUGGGAACCAAAUGAAUGGGAAGAGAAAGGGCAUCCAUAGGGCUGAUGCUGAAGCAUUGGUUCUACAGUGUUUCCAGCCCAUUGGUCACUCCACCACAUCAGUUACCAGAACCAGUCUCAGCCAAGAGCUGAAUUGUGGUGGUACCUGCCUUUGGUCCCAGUACUUGGCAGGCAGAUCUCUGAGGAGUUUAAGACCAGCCUGGGCUACAUAGUGAGACCCUGUCUCAAAACAAAAGUCAACUUGGCAUUGCUUUCCAGCUUCCCUUUCUUCAAAUUUCUCCAAGGCCACUCUCUCCCUCUCCUCCAGGAAAAAAUGGAUCACCAUCUCCUUGUGUCUUGUUCUCCUUUAAUACCUGUGCUGAUUAGAGUUGGUCAGCUUUACAUAAGCUAGAGUUAUCUGAGAGGACGUGUUUCAGGUCCCCAGACCUCUAGCAUAACUCAUGGUAGUACCAUAUAGGCCAUAGAACCCAGCACAUAGAAAGUACCACCACCAAAACAAGAACAAAAACCCAAUCCAUAGGAGUCCUUAAAUGUAUUAACCUUGCUUUUUGGCUUUUGUAGUUCCGCUUCUGGCUAACUGUUCUUGUUAACUGAAGUAUGUCAACCCAGAACGUGGUUUGUGUGCUCAAAAGCUCACCGUGAGAAAGGCUUGGUGCUACACUGGGACCCCAGACACCCAGUAUACUUGCUGGUCAGCUAAUAAAGACCUUUCAUUGGCUU